rnacentral:misc_RNA from 1 species
CCGCCCGCGCCCGCCCCCGCGCCCGCGCCCGCGCCGCCGCCGCCGCGCGCCAAGCCGCAGCCGCGCACCAAGGUACCCGCGCCGCCCGACCCGCCCGCCGUGCCCACGCGGCCGCGCCCCGUCUGACCGCCCGCGGCCCGGUCGGACCGUUCGGCGUUCGGUCGGUACGCGUUGCGGUAGUCUAUGUAUUAUUAUUUAUGCCGGCGCGCCGCGCCCGCCGCGGCCGCCGCUAGCGAGUAUCCGUUGUACAUAUGGAGUGCGGUCACGUCGGACCGGUGACGCCCGUCGACCGGUUUUAUUAUGUUGUUUUUCGCUAACACUUAUUAGUGGUCGCUUAUGUUUGUUUUGUUGGCUUUCGAAAUAUCGGUGUGAUUUACUUUAUCAUAGAGAAUACUUAAUAGUUAUGGAAUGUUUUAAUCGAUUUAAACUAUAAAUAAGGUAAAACGGAGAUCAGAGAAUGACUGUUAUUCGUGAUAAAUAUGUAAGAGAGGAGUCCACCUUUGUAACCCGCUAGUUUUCGAUGUUAACUCGAGAGAGACAAAAGUCAGUAUUUAUUGAGAAUAAUUUUUUAUGAGAUUGUUUUGUUAUCAAAUAAUUAUAGUUAGAAUAAAUAGAUACAUGUAUUUUUAUAAAAGCUACGACUUACUCUUUGCUUUAUAUGUUUAUUACUACGACUCCUCUCCAAUAUCAUAUUCUUUAGUAAAUCGAAUGAAAAGCUACUUACACUAAAAAUUGUCACUAGCUAUUCAAAAGUGCUUAUUAGUUUGAUCAUUAUACUCCAACAUUACAAAAUGUUUGUAUGUACCCUAAUUAAAUUCUAUAAUAUUAAAAGAAAAAAAAAAAAAAAA